rnacentral:misc_RNA from 1 species
AAGUCGUAACAAGGUUUCCGUAGGUGAACCUGCGGAAGGAUCAUUAACGAGUUUUGAAAUGGGUUGUAGCUGGCCUUACACAGGCAUGUGCACACCCUGCUCAUCCACUCUCAUACCCCUGUGCACCUAUUGUAGGCUUGGUGGGAUAAGUUGGCUUUAGUCUAUUUUGAAAGCCUGGUCUAUGUUUAUUACAAACGCUUCAGUUUAAGAAUGUUAUCUUGCGUCUAACGCAUUAAAUACAACUUUCAGCAACGGAUCUCUUGGCUCUC